CAGCUGUGCCCUGCUGGGGGGGCGCAGCCCCUCAUCUAUGGGGUGAAAGCCCCCCCAUGAGGGCGAUGCGGAGGGAAACCCCCACACACGGGGGGGGGAACCCCCCCAGAAGGCGCAGAGCCCCCGCGUGUGGGGUGAAAUCACCCACAGCCCCCAAAUAGGGGUGAAAUCCCCAAAGGGGGGGGGGGCAAAAUGCUCUCUGUAGGGUGAAACUCCCCCCAUGGGGUGCAGCCCCAGAUGUGGGGGUGAAAUCCCUUCUGUAGGGUGCAGCCCCCCCAAAUAUGGGGCUCAAUCCCCUCUGUAGGGUGCAGCCCCCCAAAUAUGGGGGCGAAAUCCCCUCCAUACUGUGCAGCCCCCAGAUGUGGGGGUAAAAUACCCCCAUGGGGUUCAGAACCCCAAAUAUGGGGUUCAGUCCCCUCUGUGGGGCGCCAGCCCAAAAUAUGGGGUUCAAUCCCCUCUGUGGGGUGCAGCCCCCCAGAAAUGGGGGCUCAAUCCCCACUGGAGGGUGCAGCCCCCAAAUAUGGGGGUUUGAACCCCUCUGUGGGGUGCAGCCCCCCAGAAAUGGGGGCUCAAUCCCCACUGGAGGGUGCAGCCCCCAAAUAUGGAGGAUCAAUCCCCCCAUGGGGUGCAGCCCCCCAAACAUGGGUCUCAAUCUACUCUAUAGGGUGCAGCCCCCAAAUAUGGGGGUUCAAUCCCUUCUGUGGGGUGCCAGCCCAAAAUAUGGGGGUUCAAUCCCCUCUGUAGGGCGCAGCCCCCCAAAUAUGGGGGUUCACUCCCCUCUGUAGGGUGCAGCCCCCCAGAAAUGGGGGCUCAAUCCCCCCAUGGGGUGCAGCCCCCUAAAUAUGGGGCUCAAUCCCCUGUGUGGGGCGCAGCCCCCUAAAUAUGGGGGUUCAAUACCCUCCAUGGGGUGCAGCCCCCCAACUCCCCUCUGUAGGGUGCAGGCCCUAAAUAUGGGGCUCAAUGCCCCCCUUGGAUGCAGCCCCCCAACUAUGGGGUUCAAUCCCCUCUGUAGGAUGCAGCCCCCCAACUGUAGGGUUUAAUCCCCUCUGUGGGGCGCCAGCCCAAAAUAUGGGGUUCAAUCCCCUCUGUGGGGUGCAGCCCCCCAGAAAUGGGGGCUCAAUCCCCGCUGGAGGGUGCAGCCCCCAAAUAUGGGGCUCAAUCCCCUCUGUAGGGUGCCAGCCCAAAAUAUGGGAGUUCAAUCCCCCAAUGGGGUGCAGCCCCCAAAUAUGGGGUUCAAUCCCCUCCAUGGGGCGCAGCCCCCCAACUAUGGGGUUCAAUCCCCUCUGUAGGGUGCCAGCCCAAAAUAUGGGGCUCAAUCCCCUCUGU
rnacentral:lncRNA from 1 species